CACCGGCGCCACGAGUGGGGAUCAUAUUUAUUGGGUCUAAAGCAUCCGUAGCCGGUUCAGCAACUCUUUUGUGAAAUCGUUUCGCUUAACGUAACGACGAGCGAAAGAAACUACUGGACUAGGAACCGGGAGAGGUUAGAGGUAUUCUGGGGGGAGCGGUAAAAUGUGAUAAUCCUCAGAGGACCACCAAUGGUGUAGGCAUCUAACUAGAACGGGUUCGACGGUGAGGGAUGAAGGCUAGGGGA
rnacentral:rRNA from 1 species